AGAAACGCCAUGUUUCCAAUAGGCGGUGCAGACAAAGACGCAGUCCAUACAAAAAAGCCCAGCGAUUCGAAAAUACACAUUAUUACAUACAUUUUCAGCCACCAAUAUCAGGGUCUUUCCACAGGGGGGAGCUUAAGUCACCAAAACUCUAAUGGGGCAGUUUUUCUGUGCUACGUCUGAUCUGGAAGAAUAGCUGAAACACAGUCGGUGAGGCAGAUAUAAACAAAUGAAAUCCAGCAUUUCCCUUCACUGCAAACUGGAGCCAUGCGAUAUGAUCUCAUCUUAUCCCCCAGACUGAGGGAAACUACAUCUGUGACACUUCUGAAAAGCAGCCAAGGGCCCUGAACGCCACUCGCCGACAGAGGGGCAGAUUUGUGUUUA
rnacentral:lncRNA from 1 species